rnacentral:sRNA from 1 species
GUUCUUCUGUCCCUUCCAAGACCCGGCGACAGGAGGCAUGAGGGGCCCCCGGCCGAAAUGACAGUGCUGGCGCCAGCCUGGAGCCCAACAACCUAUCUCCUCCUGCUGCUGCUGCUGAGCUCGGGACUCAGUGGGACCCAGGACUGCUCCUUCCAACACAGCCCCAUCUCCUCCGACUUCGCUGUCAAAAUCCGUGAGCUGUCUGACUACCUGCUUCAAGAUUACCCGGUCACCGUGGCCUCCAACCUGCAGGACGAGGAGCUCUGCGGGGCCCUCUGGCGGCUGGUCCUGGCACAGCGCUGGAUGGAGCGGCUCAAGACUGUCGCUGGGUCCAAGAUGCAAGGCUUGCUGGAGCGCGUGAACACGGAGAUACACUUUGUCACCAAAUGUGCCUUUCAGGUCAGCCCUCAACUUAGGGGACAAGUGAGGGGAGGGAGAUGCCUUCCUACGAAUUAGAAGUAAAGCUCCGCUAGGCCUUAUUGGCGAUUUGGACCAUAGCCACCCAACGAAGGUAGAGCGAGAAGCGCCACCCUGCAGAGCCCUGUUCCUACAGAACAACACGU